ACGCUUGAAGUCAGUCGCGUUGUCCAGGGAUCAACCUUGCUUUUGCUUGGUGCACUUCCUGGUUGACGGGUCAGCAUCAAUUUUGACCAUUGGAAAAAGGUUAAGGGAAUGUGGCAUCUUUGGAUGUGUUAUAGCCCUUGGUUGCAUACAAUGGUUGGGAUUGAGGAACUCAGCACGCCGCAAGGCCGGGUUUUUAACCACGUACGUGCUUAGGAUGCUGGCAUAAUGGCUUUAAUCGACCCGUCUUGAAACACGGACCAAGGAGUC
rnacentral:rRNA from 1 species